UACAGAGGAGCCAAGCGUUGUCCGGAUUGACUGGGCGUAAAGCGCACGCAGGCGGUUGCGCGCGUAGGGUGUGAAAUCUGGCCGCUUAACGGCCAGGCGCCAUCCCAUACGGCGCGACUGGAGUGAUGCAGAGGUCGAUGGAAUUGCCGGUGUAGUGGUGAAAUGCGUAGAGAUCGGGAGGAACACCAGUGGCGAAGGCGGCCGGCUGGGGGUGACCUGACGCUGAGGCGCGAAAGCGUGGGGAGCGAACCGG
rnacentral:rRNA from 1 species